UAAAUGAUAGCACUGAACAUAUACUUUCAGCUUAUAGAGAGUCACACAUGACAUGGUAGAGACAUGGUAGUUCUCUUAAUUACAGCUCAGAAACCUACUACAGUGGAUUUUUAGUGCAUUAGUAAAAAUGCUAAAGUUGUAAUUUUAGCUUAUCUAAAAACAAUUAUCCAUAAAGCUACACAAAUCUGAAUGUACUAAAACUAUUUUUUGUGAAUAAACUUACCUGUUCACGAGUGAUCAUAUUGAUUUUCUUUUCUGACUCUCUCCAGUUACAGGUUUAAUCCUCUUAUUUAUUCAUAUUAACCAAACAAGUGGCCCAAAAGAUUUCUAGAAUUUCUGUAGCACUGAUAAGUUACAUGCAAGGAAAUUAUGACAAUGAAUUAUCAAUACUUGGGUAUAAUUCAUUUGAGAAGAUAAUCCAGUUAGGGGAGAAAAUAGGUUACUUCACUGAGUUUUCACCAUGCAUUUGAAACCUUGGUUAAAUGAUGAAUGACUGUUUGCUAUAGCAUAUGUUGACACAAUAUUAAAGGCAUAUAUUUUAGUACUUCAUAUCCUUUUUGUGAGAAAAACAUUUUUGAUGGUCAGUAUACACAUAAAAAUUCAAAUCCUUCCAAUCAGCUUUCAGAUGAUUGUUGUAUGGAUCAACCAGACCUGUAGUAUUCUUUCUUCCAAAAUAUCUUCCAUCUGUAUUUUAUUAUUCAUUGGUACAAUCAUUAGUGAAUAAUAAAUAUUUCUUUCAGAUAUUUCCUAUAUUAAUAAAUAGGUAGGUAGGUAUUUAGACAGGCAUAAACAAUAUACAAAAGUCUAAAAUAUAUGAAGUGAACUAAGAGGCAUUAUUCAUAUUUCAAGGAGAAAUUAUUUUGCAAUUUUCAGAUGCACUUCUAGUAUUUCAUUUUUUUAAACUAAAUUACUCAUCUUUUUCUGUGAUAAUUUUCCAAGUGAUGUUAUUUUUUAAAGUCACAUUUAAGUUAGUGACUGAUCUACAAUCAACUUUUUUAUAUAUAAUUAUUUAUAUAUAAUGAGGGAGUGAGAAGAGAUAACGAGAUAAUUGACUGAGAGUCUUCGGUGUACUUGACACUACUAUGUGCUUAGCAUCACUCUUACUUACUUCUCAAGUCAAAACUAUGUGGUAUGUCAUAUUAUUCCCAAUUUACUUAGGAAAAACUAAGGCCUAGAAAAGUUAAGUAAUUUAUCUAAGAUUACAUAGUUGGCAGGUGGCUAUGCUUUGAUUCAAAGGUGCAUUUGACAUAAGCAUAAGCAAAUGCCUGACUUGACCAUUUGAAAAACCAAACCAAAUAAAAACAAAUCCCCUAAUAAAAGGAAUCACCUUUUUUUAAGAGUUUCUAAUACCUGGUGGAUUUUCCAAAACAGACUGCAAAGAAUAUGAGAUUAGUGGCACAAGAUUAUUAGCUACACACCAGUUUUUUUAAAAGUAGAUUACCCAUUAUACAUCUCUGCAAAAAUAUUGCACUAUACUUUAAAAUAUCGUUUUAUUUUACUUUAUUUUAUGUUUAUUAUAAUGUUCAUGAUCAUUUUACUCUAUUUAAAAACGUUCUUCUGAGUUAAAUUAUAAUUAAUUUAUUGCAAUCAUUAGAAACACACAAAUUAAA